UAAAGCAAAUCCUCUCAGCGGCAACUCCUCGAGUAAUAGUGCAACAAAUAUUUACGUAAGAUUCAGAAAUGUUGAAACGGCUGUGUCAAGUGUUAAGAGGCUAAAGGCGUGGACUAAUGCUCGCCGAUAGAGUCACACAGCAGCGGUCAAACACGCCCUGCAGUAUAAGGCGGGAGACACGAUCGGCGGGUACACGGUGCGCCAGGUUGAAGAAAUCAAAGAACUGCUCCUCGCUGCUGUUCGGCUUUUGGAUGAAAAAACAGGCGCGGACUUUCUCUACAUCGCCCGUACGAUCGCACCCGCAGUAGGGAUGGAGGCUUGAGCAUACCGAUCCCAAGGACAAAUCUUCACCCAUUGUUAUCAAAGGAGUCGUAUACAAAGAAAUUAAAGGAGUCUGUGAACACUGUGUGAAGCGGCAGCUUGCAAGUUUCUACUUGUCAAGCUUUUCAGUCUUACAAGGGUGCGAAUGGAUGAAAGGCUGAGGAACAUAUGCAGAGAUGUAUCUCUGCUGCUUACAUUGUUCUUGCGCUCGAACAUGGGGAAUGACGCUGUGCUGGAGUGGAGUUUAAAAAAAUAACGGAAGCAGAGACCAGUCUCGGUGACAAGGAUGCUGCAUCGGUUGGUCUUAUACCCUAACGGUGUCCUACUUCAAAGAUGAUCUCAGCCAACUCAUACGAGUACAUGAACGCACCGCUAGGCCUGUGGAAUAAAUUCUUGGUACUCGGUGGACCACGGAUGCACGUGACAGGCCCAGAUCAUCGCCUCUAUCGUCACUUAUCGUACAAGUCUAUCUGCACGGAAAAACAACGUAGCAACGCCCACUUCACAGGGAAUGUGCAGGGUGCCGACGACAUAAAAAGGACCAGCAGAACGAAGACGAAUUCCAGUUUGGAGGCAGUGCGCAUCGGA